CUCCACUCUGUUCCUCAGGCUCUGCACCUCCUCAGUCACGUUCUCCAUCGGGCCAAACCCGUCACCUGUGGGAACCAAACGAGUAUAAACAUAAAAUGUGUGUUUAAAGGUUUCUUCCUGU